UACGAGAGGUCCAAGCGUUAGUCGGAAUCACUGGGCGUAAAGAGCGCGCAGGCGGUCGUCCAAGUCGCGUGUGAAAGCCCCCGGCUCAACUGGGGAGGGUCACGCGAUACUGGUCGACUCGAAGGCAGGAGAGGGUAGUGGAAUUCCCGGUGUAGUGGUGAAAUGCGUAGAUAUCGGGAGGAACACCAGUGGCGAAGGCGACUACCUGGCCUGUUCUUGACGCUGAGGCGCGAAAGCUAGGGGAGCAAACGGG
rnacentral:rRNA from 1 species